rnacentral:rRNA from 1 species
GGCUCAGGACGAACGCUGGCGGCGUGCUUAACACAUGCAAGUCGAACGAUGAACCGCUUUCGGGCGGGGAUUAGUGGCGAACGGGUGAGUAACACGUGGGCAAUCUGCCCUGCACUCUGGGACAAGCCCUGGAAACGGGGUCUAAUACCGGAUAUGACUGUCCAUCGCAUGGUGGAUGGUGUAAAGCUCCGGCGGUGCAGGAUGAGCCCGCGGCCUAUCAGCUUGUUGGUGAGGUAGUGGCUCACCAAGGCGACGACGGGUAGCCGGCCUGAGAGGGCGACCGGCCACACUGGGACUGAGACACGGCCCAGACUCCUACGGGAGGCAGCAGUGGGGAAUAUUGCACAAUGGGCGAAAGCCUGAUGCAGCGACGCCGCGUGAGGGAUGACGGCCUUCGGGUUGUAAACCUCUUUCAGCAGGGAAGAAGCGAAAGUGACGGUACCUGCAGAAGAAGCGCCGGCUAACUACGUGCCAGCAGCCGCGGUAAUACGUAGGGCGCAAGCGUUGUCCGGAAUUAUUGGGCGUAAAGAGCUCGUAGGCGGCUUGUCACGUCGGUUGUGAAAGCCCGGGGCUUAACCCCGGGUCUGCAGUCGAUACGGGCAGGCUAGAGUUCGGUAGGGGAGAUCGGAAUUCCUGGUGUAGCGGUGAAAUGCGCAGAUAUCAGGAGGAACACCGGUGGCGAAGGCGGAUCUCUGGGCCGAUACUGACGCUGAGGAGCGAAAGCGUGGGGAGCGAACAGGAUUAGAUACCCUGGUAGUCCACGCCGUAAACGGUGGGCACUAGGUGUGGGCAACAUUCCACGUUGUCCGUGCCGCAGCUAACGCAUUAAGU